CCUGUGUGCACACGUCUUGCAUAGGAAAUUUUCUGAUGACUAUUAUUGCUUAUUAUUAAAAUUUGGGUGUUAUAUAGUCCUUAUGUAAGGGCCAGCCUAUCCAACUUUAUUUUUGAACUGUAUUAUUGCUUAUUAGAUAUGCUUGGCAUGUAAUAUCUUGAAAGUUUAGCCAAAAGUCCAGCAGCAUGCAUUUUUCAAAUUCCAAACUACAGAUAAAUCAACCAACCAACGAUGGCCUAAGAGAACUGCACAGCAAUGUGUUUCCCCCACAAACAUCCGAAAUUGAAAGGGUAACUCGAGCAAUGAAAGUGACCAUCAAUAAAGAUAAAACCAACAAAGAAACUCCAAAAUCAAGAUAUUACUUAUUAUACAAGGAAACAUGUUGCCAGGCGUCAAUCUAGAUGAAGUGGUUUUCCUUAAGAAGUUAGCGUACAUGUGUAGAUUACAAGCAAUGAUCAUAUGGAGCUCAACAACAAACAUGUCCAGUGAGGACCCAUAAGAGGUCAAGACUGAGAAAGACAUUUUCACUGCAGCCAACAACUGUGGUGCAGCUGACAUUAUAUAAUAACAUAACCGUGUAGGCGCCACCAGUCCCCUUAAAUACCAGCAAAGAUCAAGAUUUUGCUGACUAGGCAUGAAUUUCCCGAGUUAUGGGCAUACUUGUCUGUUUUGGUCAGUUUUCAGGUUGUUCUUUCAUUGAAAGGGACCUUUCACAGUAUUACUUGCAAUUGUUAGAUAUUUUAACUAGAAAAUUCCCGGUUUUUGCAAGACAAUUUCUGAUAUCCAACCAGCUUGACAUUGGGGAUUAGGAUAAGAGCCCUCGUGGGAGACAAGCAUCCAAAGCCCAGCUGCAUGCAGUUGCCGUAUCUGGAAUAGUUUUAGAGCCAGUGAGGGCAGCCAAUGUCAACAAAGAGCGAGGUUCAGAUACCAAGAAUCAUGUCUGCAGAAAGUAGAAUAAAAUUCAUGAAAAUUUAUGAUGUGCAACGUUCAAAUCUGCAGCACAGCUAUGUUAAAUGAAUACUAUUUGCAUUUACAACAACAACAACAAAGCCUUUAGUCCCAAACAAGUUGGGGUAGGCUAGAGGUGAAACCCAUAAGAUCUCGCAACCAACUCAUGGCUCUGGCACAUGGAUAGCAAGCUUCCACGCAACCCUGUCUGUAGCUAGCUCUUUGGUGAUACUCCAAUCCUUCAGAUCUCUCUUAACGGACUCCUCCCAUGUCAAAUUCGGACUACCCCGCCCUCUCUUGACAUUCUCCGCACGCUUUAGCCUUCCGCUAUGCACUAGAGCUUCUGGAGGCCUGUGCUGAAUAUGCCCAAACCAUCUCAGACGAUGUUGGACAAGCUUCUCUUCAAUUGGUGCUACCCCAACUCUAUCCCGUAUAUCAUCAUUCCGGACUCGAUCCUUCCUCGUGUGGCCACACAUCCAUCUCAACAUACGCAUCUCCACCACACCUAACUGUUGAACAUGUCGCCUUUUAGUCGGCCAACACUCAGCGCCAUACAACAUUGCGGGUCGAACCGCCAUCCUGUAGAACUUGCCUUUUAGCUUUUGUGGCACUCUCUUGUCACAGAGAAUGCCAGAAGCUUGGCGCCACUUCAUCCAUCCGGCUUUGAUUCGAUGGUUCACAUCUUCAUCAAUACCCCCAUCCUCCUGCAGCAUUGACCCCAAAUACCGAAAGGUGUCCUUCUGAGGUACCACCUGGCCAUCAAGGCUAACCUCCUCCUCCUCACACCUAGUAGUACUGAAACCGCACAUCAUGUACUCGGUUUUAGUUCUACUAAGCCUAAACCCUUUCGAUUCCAAGGUUUGUCUCCAUAACUCUAACUUCCUAUUUACCCCCGUCCGACUAUCGUCAACUAGCACCACAUCAUCCGCAAAGAGCAUACACCAUGGGAUAUCUCCUUGUAUAUCCCUUCUAACCUCAUCCAUCACCAAAGCAAAAAGAUAAGGGCUCAAAGCUGACCCCUGAUGCAGUCCUAUCUUAAUCGGGAAGUCAUCAGUGUCGACAUCACUUGUUCGAACACUUGUCACAACAUUAUCGUACAUGUCCUUGAUGAGGGUAAUGUACUUUGCUGGGACUUUGUGUUUCUCCAAGGCCCACCACAUGACCUUCCACGGUAUAUUAUCAUAGGCCUUCUCCAAGUCAAUGAACACCAUAUGCAAGUCCUUUUGCUCCCGAUAUCUCUCCAUAAGUUGUCGUACCAAGAAAAUGGCUUCCAUGGUCGACCUCCCAGGCAUGAAACCAAACUGAUUUUUGGUCACGCUUGUCAUUCUUCUUAAGCGGUGCUCAAUGACUCUCUCCCAUAGCUUCAUUGUAUGGCUCAUUAGCUUAAUUCCACGGUAAUUAGUACAACUCUAAACAUCCCCCUUGUUCUUGAAGAUUGAUACUAAUAUACUCCGUCUCCAUCCCUCUGGCAUCUUAUUUGCCCGAAAAAUGAGGUUGAAAAGCUUGGUUAGCCAUACUAUCGCUAUGUCCCCGAGACCUUUCCACACCUCAAUGGGGAUACAAUCAGGGCCCAUCGCCUUGCCUCCUUUCAUCCUUUUUAAAGCCUCCUUGACCUCAAACUCCUGGAUUCGCCGCACAAAACGCAUGCUGGUCUCAUCAAAGGAGUCGUCCAGCUCAAUGGUAGAACUCUCAUUCUCCCCAUUGAGCAGCUUGUCAAAGUACUCCCGCCAUCUAUGCUUAAUCUCCUCAUCCUUCACCAAGAGUUGGCCUGCUCCGUCCUUGAUGCAUUUGACUUGGCCAAUAAUAUUUGCAUUUACAAACACAAAAAAAAGGGCAGCCCGGUGCAUGUAGCUCCCGCUUGCGCAGGGUCCGGGGAAGGGUCCGACCAAUUUGGGUCUAUAGUACGCAACCUUUCCCUGCAUUUACAAACACAACUACCCUAAAAAAAACUUUGCCUGAUAACGUCUACAGAAAGUGGAACAGGACUCAGGAGAACUAUGGAUGCGUCUUUUUUUCUGAGAAAAAAUGCCCUGCGUCACAGUGCAACUAUGUUAAGUGGAUCAUAUUUGCGUUUACAAACACAACUACCCUGUAAAAACUUUGCCUUAAGUAAUAAGGAUGUGAACAAGGAAGCUGUGAACGAAAUUAUGAUCAUGUGAAGAAUAGUAAUCAAGAAAUUUAAAGCUAACAACUAUGCUCUAAGGUGAACGCAGAAUAACAGUGAGAAUAAAUUUCAGAACCUUGCAACUUCUUACAAGAAUUUUCUAAAGGAGAACCGAGACAGCUGAAUUUUUGGCCAUGUGGUGCAAAAAAAAAUACAUGAUUUACACAUCAACACAGGAAACAAUAUACUCUGCUAGGAAUAGCAUAGGAUCAAAUUCACGAACCUAUCUGUGUAUCAGAGGCUUCGGCUAUGAAUAAGCAUACCAUGAGUUAUAUCUUGAGAAGUAGGAAUAUAGGGUAGAGAAAAUUAGAGAUAACCUUCAUAUGCAUAUGGAUUUUGUUGAAUAUCUCCAACAGAGUUGUUCUCCUGUACAAACAGAAACAUUCAGAAUGGUAAAUCAUACAAUAAUAUGCAUCAGGUAACUUAAAUCUAGACUCAAUGCUGAGCUAUCACAGUUUCUUCAGACUAUCAACAACAAACCUUCUUCUCACAUGUUUAUGCACAGGGGACGCCAUUCCUGCCAUCAAGCAGUUCUUACCCGAUACACUAGUGGAAGUCAGGUCAUAUAGAUCUUGGC
rnacentral:lncRNA from 1 species